UACGUAGGGGGCAAGCGUUAUCCGGAUUUACUGGGUGUAAAGGGAGCGUAGGUGGUGUGGUAAGUCAGAUGUGAAAGCCCGGGGCUCAACCCCGGGACUGCAUUUGAAACUACCAUGCUGGAGUGCAGGAGAGGUAAGUGGAAUUCCUAGUGUAGCGGUGAAAUGCGUAGAUAUUAGGAGGAACACCAGUGGCGAAGGCGGCUUACUGGACUGUAACUGACACUGAGGCUCGAAAGCGUGGGGAGCAAACAGGAUUAGAUACCCUGGUAGUCCACGCGGUAAACGAUGAAUACUAGGUGUCGGGGGUCAAAAGACCUCCGGUGCCGCAGCUAACGCAAUAAGUAUUCCACCUGGGGAGUACGUUCGCAAGAAUGAA
rnacentral:rRNA from 1 species